AGCCAUGUAGAAGAUUGUCCAUAUAGA
rnacentral:sRNA from 1 species